rnacentral:rRNA from 1 species
UACGGAGGAGGCAAGCGUUAUCCGGAAUUAUUGGGCGUAAAGAGCUCGUAGGCGGCUUGUCACGUCGAUUGUGAAAGCCCGAGGCUUAACCUCGGGUCUGCAGUCGAUACGGGCUGGCUAGAGUGUGGUAGGGGAGAUCGGAAUUCCUGGUGUAGCGGUGAAAUGCGCAGAUAUCAGGAGGAACACCGGUGGCGAAGGCGGAUCUCUGGGCCAUUACUGACGCUGAGGAGCGAAAGCGUGGGGAGCGAACAGG